GAUGAACGCUGGCGGCGUGCCUAAUACAUGCAAGUCGAGCGAACGGACGUGAAGCUUGCUUCUCUGAUGUUAGCGGCGGACGGGUUAGUAACACGUGGAUAACCUACCUAUAAGACUGGGUUAACUUCGGGAAACCGGAGCUAAUACCGGAUAAUAUUAUGCACCGCAUGGUUCAAAAGUGAAAGACGGUCUUGCUGUCACUUAUAGAUGGAUCCGCGCUGCAUUAGCUAUUUGGUAAGGUAACGGCUUACCAAGGCAACGAUGCAUAGCCGACCUGAGAGGGUGAUCGGCCACACUGGAACUGAGACACGGUCCAGACUCCGAAGGGAGGCAGCAGUAGGGAAUCUUACGCAAUGGGCGAAAGCCUGACGGAGCAAAGCCGCGGGAGUGAUGAAGGUCUGAGGAUCGUAAAACGAUGUUAUUAGGGAAGAACAUAUGUGUAAGUAACUGUGAACAUAUUGACGGUACCUAAGCAGAAAGCCACGGCUAACUACGUG
rnacentral:rRNA from 1 species